UUUCUUGAAACAUCUCUUUUUGAUCUUCUUUUUGCUUUUCAUCUAAGGUUUUUCUUUACAAAGCAGAAGGGCCUUUCUUGCCCCUUGCCUCGGGAGGCUUGGGUCGAAUGUGCGAACUUCUCCGAACCUUCGACCCUUAAAGUUCCAGAUCUCUCCCCACCCCCUACCAAGAGCACCCGUCCAUCCUUUCCGCUCCCCACCACCGGAGCACGCCCCGGGACACCGUUCCCUGGCGUGCCCGCCACUCCGGGACCAGCACCCAAGGCGCUGCAGGCGGUCCAGGCGGAUCAAGCCAGACAGGGCAUGGAGACUAACAACCUCAAACCCAUGUAAGCCAUCCAGAGCUGAAGACAGCGGGUCCUCUAUUGGACAAUGCAGCUGAUGGAUGAGGAACAUCUCAGACCUUGGCUCUUAACCGGGAAGAUGUGUUCCAGGAGCCGCUUUACAUGCUCACCAUACGAUGCGCUCCAGGACGACA